AGAAUCAACGCUGGCGGCGUGCCUCAGACAUGCAAGUCGAACGCGAAAGUCCCCUUCGGGGACAAGUAGAGUGGCGCACGGGUGAGUAACACGUAGGUAAUCUACCGUUCGGAUGGGGAAUAACAACCGGAAACGGUUGCUAAUACCGCAUAAUGCAGCGGCACCUAAUGGUGACAGUUGUUAAAGCGGGGGAUCGAAAGACCUCGCGUCUGACGAGGAGCCUGCGGCGGAUUAGCUAGUUGGUAGGGUAACGGCCUACCAAGGCGACGAUCC
rnacentral:rRNA from 1 species